rnacentral:rRNA from 1 species
CUGCGGCAGCGACACUGUGUGUUGUUGGGUAGGGGAGCGUUCUGUAAGCCUGUGAAGGUGUGUCGUGAGGCAUGCUGGAGGUAUCAGAAGUGCGAAUGCUGACAUAAGUAACGAUAAAGCGGGUGAAAAGCCCGCUCGCCGGAAGACCAAGGGUUCCUGUCCAACGUUAAUCGGGGCAGGGUGAGUCGACCCCUAAGGCGAGGCCGAAAGGCGUAGUCGAUGGGAAACGGGUUAAUAUUCCCGUACUUGGUGUUACUGCGAAGGGGGGACGGAGAAGGCUAUGUUGGCCGGGCGACGGUUGUCCCGGUUUAAGCGUGUAGGUGUGUGUUCCAGGUAAAUCCGGUUCACUUUAACACUGAGGCGUGACGACGAGGCACUACGGUGCUGAAGCAACAAAUGCCCUGCUUCCAGGAAAAGCCUCUAAGCAUCAGGUAACAUCAAAUCGUACCCCAAACCGACACAGGUGGUCAGGUAGAGAAUACCAAGGCGCUUGAGAGAACUCGGGUGAAGGAACUAGGCAAAAUGGUGCCGUAACUUCGGGAGAAGGCACGCUGACACGUAGGUGAAGUGAUUUACUCAUGGAGCUGAAGUCAGUCGAAGAUACCAGCUGGCUGCAACUGUUUAUUAAAAACACAGCACUGUGCAAACACGAAAGUGGACGUAUACGGUGUGACGCCUGCCCGGUGCCGGAAGGUUAAUUGAUGGGGUCAGCGCAAGCGAAGCUCCUGAUCGAAGCCCCGGUAAACGGCGGCCGUAACUAUAACGGUCCUAAGGUAGCGAAAUUCCUUGUCGGGUAAGUUCCGACCUGCACGAAUGGCGUAAUGAUGGCCAGGCUGUCUCCACCCGAGACUCAGUGAAAUUGAACUCGCUGUGAAGAUGCAGUGUACCCGCGGCAAGACGGAAAGACCCCGUGAACCUUUACUAUAGCUUGACACUGAACAUUGAGCCUUGAUGUGUAGGAUAGGUGGGAGGCUUUGAAGUGUGGACGCCAGUCUGCAUGGAGCCGACCUUGAAAUACCACCCUUUAAUGUUUGAUGUUCUAACGUGGACCCGUUACCCGGGUUGCGGACAGUGUCUGGUGGGUAGUUUGACUGGGGCGGUCUCCUCCUAAAGAGUAACGGAGGAGCACGAAGGUUGGCUAAUCCUGGUCGGACAUCAGGAGGUUAGUGCAAUGGCAUAAGCCAGCUUGACUGCGAGCGUGACGGCGCGAGCAGGUGCGAAAGCAGGUCAUAGUGAUCCGGUGGUUCUGAAUGGAAGGGCCAUCGCUCAACGGAUAAAAGGUACUCCGGGGAUAACAGGCUGAUACCGCCCAAGAGUUCAUAUCGACGGCGGUGUUUGGCACCUCGAUGUCGGCUCAUCACAUCCUGGGGCUGAAGUAGGUCCCAAGGGUAUGGCUGUUCGCCAUUUAAAGUGGUACGCGAGCUGGGUUUAGAACGUCGUGAGACAGUUCGGUCCCUAUCUGCCGUGGGCGCUGGAGAACUGAGGGGGGCUGCUCCUAGUACGAGAGGACCGGAGUGGACGCAUCACUGGUGUUCGGGUUGUCAUGCCAAUGGCACUGCCCGGUAGCUAAAUGCGGAAGAGAUAAGUGCUGAAAGCAUCUAAGCACGAAACUUGCCCCGAGAUGAGUUCUCCCUGAGACUUAGAGUCUCCUGAAGGAACGUUGAAGACGACGACGUUGAUAGGCCGGGUGUGUAAGCGCAGCGAUGCGUUGAGCUAACCGGUACUAAUGAACCGUGAGGCUUAACCUUACAACGCCGAAG